rnacentral:lncRNA from 1 species
CCGCAGCCCAAAGAGGAAGGAGUCCUGCAGUGCCCAAGCCAGACUAUUUCCUGAGAACCUCUGUUCUUACCUACUGCUUUAAGCAGGUUGGUGUGCCAGCCUGUGGGUAUCUGCACAGGAAUACAGGUGCAUACAGAGGCCAGAGAUCCCCUGGACAGAUCCCCUUGGAGCUGGAAUGACAGACAACUAGGAGCCACCUGCCAUGGGUAGCAGGAACAGGUAAUGACACCAUCUGUAGGUGGUAUACCAUAGAUGUACAGAAGGCACAUGAGAGUGUGUGCACACAUGCACACGUGUGUACAUGUACAUGCACAAAGAGUGGGCUAUACAAAUGGAAGGCAGAUGCAUACUCGGAACCUGUCCGUGAUUCCUACUUCUCAAGCAUCCGUUUAAUGCUGCUUACUGCUUUUUUGUUUCUAUAACCUCUUUAUUGACAUUUAAUCUUUGCACCCUAACAUGCAUCUCUUCAAAUGCAGAGUCUGAAGGUCUUUAGCAUGUUGUCUUUAGCAUGCUGUGCAAGUUGUGCACGGAUUGAACUCUCUUACCC